rnacentral:rRNA from 1 species
GAUUAACGCUGGCGGCGUGCAUAACACAUGCAAGUCGAACGAUGAAACUUUAAUGAACCCUUCGGGGAGAAUUAAAGCGGAUUAGUGGCGAACGGGUGAGUAACGCGCGAGUAACCUGCCUUACACAAGGGGAUAGCCUUUGGAAACGAAGAAUAAUAUCCUAUAAAACCAUAAAAGCACAUGCAACUAUGGUCAAAGUGAUAGUGGUGAAAGAUGGACUUGCGUCUGAUUAGCUAGUUGGUGAGAUAAAAGCCCACCAAGGCAACGAUCAGUAGCCGGCUUGGGGGCGUGUACCGCAACAUUGCGAGUGGGACACGGCCCAGACCCCUACGGAAGGCAGAAGGGGGGAAGUUUGAACAAUGGGGGAAACCCUAAUGCAGCGACGCCGCAUAAUUUAGAAGGCCGUCGAGUUGUAAAGUUCUUUUGUAUAGGAAGAACAUGACGGUACUAUACGAAUAAGGUCCGGCUAAUUACGUG